rnacentral:rRNA from 1 species
AGAGCGUAUGGCGAAUGCCUAGGCACAAAGAGGCGAAGAAGGACGCAGCAAACGGCGAAACGCGACGGCGAGCAGUAAGCAGGCAAGGACCCGUCGAUGUCCGAAUGGGGGAACCCGGCAUCCGUAAUGGGAUGUCAGCGCAUGAUGAAUAAAUAGUGAUGCGUGGCGAGACGCAGGGAACUGAAACAUCUCAGUACCUGCAGGAGAAGAAAGUAAAGAACGAUUCCGUAAGUAGCGGCGAGCGAAAGCGGAGGAGCCCAAACCAGUUCUCGAACUGGGGUUGUAGGACCACGACAAGACAAGAACGACGAUAGGAGAACAGCAUUGAAAGGCUGACCGAAGAGGGUGCAAGUCCCGUAACCGAAAUCGUAGUGAAGUCUAGUGGGAUCCUGAGUACGGCGAGACACGAGAAAUCUUGUCGGAAGCAGGCGGGACCAUCCGUCAAGGCUAAAUAUACCCAAGUGACCGAUAGUGAACCAGUACCGUGAGGGAAAGGUGAAAAGAACCGCGGGAGCGGAGUGAAAGAGAACCUGAAACCGUAUGCCUACAAGAAGUCAGAGCCCGUUAAAGGGUGAUGGCGUGCCUUUUGUAGAAUGAACCGGCGAGUUACUGUAUGGAGCGAGGUUAAGCAGGAUAUGCGGAGCCGAAGCGAAAGCGAGUCUUAAGAGGGCGCGAGUUGCAUGCAGUAGACCCGAAACCGGGUGAUCUAGCCAUGACCAGGUUGAAGUUGGGGUAAAACCCGAUGGAGGACCGAACCGACCCCCGUUGAAACGUUGGCGGAUGAGUUGUGGCUAGGGGUGAAAUUCCAAUCGAACCCGGAGAUAGCUGGUUCUCCCCGAAAUAGCUUUAGGGCUAGCGUCGAGAGAAGAGUUGCGUGAAGGUAGAGCACUGAAUAUGUGAUGGCCCCAUCUCGGGGUACUGAGCAUAAUCAAACUGCGAAUGUCACGCCAACAUGCUCGGCAGUCAGACAGCGGGUGAUAAGGUCCGUUGUCAAGAGGGAAACAGCCCAGACCAUCAGCUAAGGUCCCAAAAUGUAUGCUAAGUGGAAAAGGAUGUGGAGAUGUACAGACAACUAGGAGGUUGGCUCAGAAGCAGCCAUCCUUUAAAGAGUGCGUAACAGCUCACUAGUCGAAUGACUCUGCGCCGAUAAUUUACCGGGGCUAAGCAUACUACCGAAGCUAUGGAUCCCAAGGGAUGGUAGGGGAGCGUUCCAUGAACGGAGAAGUACGACCGAAAGGACGUGUGGAGAUCAUGGAAGAGAGAAUGCCGGUGUGAGUAGCGGAACGUGGGUGAGAAUCCCACGCACCGAAAACCCAAGGUUUCCAGAGGAAGGUUCGUCCGCUCUGGGUAAGUCGGGACCUAAGGCGAGGCCGAAAGGCGUAGUCGAUGGACAACAGGUAGAGAUUCCUGUACCCGUAUAUAUGUGAAGGAAUGACGGAGAGAGGAAGCUGCAGCCAGCGGCUGGAAGAGCUGGUGCAAGCGAGAUAUCGGGAUGGCAGGCAAAUCCACCAUCCGAAACGAGAAGGCGUGAAGCGUACGGAAAGCUACGGCGAGUACGGAAGGCAGUGGAGGAACUUCCAAGAAAAGUUUCUAACGUUAAGUAUAUAUGGCCCGUACCGAAAAUGGACACACAUGGGUGAGGAGAGAAUCCUAAGGUGAGCGAGAGAACUAUAGCUAAGGAACUCUGCAAAAUGACUCCGUAACUUAGGGAGAAGGAGUGCUCAUAGAGAUAUGAGCCGCAGUGAAACGGCCCAAGCGACUGUUUACCAAAAACACAGCUCUCUGCUAAGCCGCAAGGCGAAGUAUAGGGGGUGACGCCUGCCCGGUGCUGGAAGGUUAAGGGGAGGGGUUAACGCAAGUGAAGCCCUGAACUGAAGCCCCAGUAAACGGCGGCCGUAACUAUAACGGUCCUAAGGUAGCGAAAUUCCUUGUCAGGUAAGUUCUGACCCGCACGAAAGGCGUAAUGAUUUGGGCGCUGUCUCGGCAGCAGACUCGGUGAAAUCUUAGUACCUGUGAAGAUGCAGGUUACCCGCAACUAGACGGAAAGACCCCAUGGAGCUUUACUGUAGCCUGAUAUUGAGUUUUGAUCAAGUAUGUACAGGAUAGGUGGGAGACGAAGAAGUUGGGACGUCAGUUUCAAUGGAGUCGACGUUGGGAUACCACUCUUAGUUGAUUGAAAUUCUAACCUAUAUCCGUGAACCGGGUAAGGGACAGUGUCAGGUGGGCAGUUUGACUGGGGCGGUCGCCUCCUAAAGAGUAACGGAGGCGCCCAAAGGUACCCUCAGAUUGGUUGGAAAUCAAUCGACGAGCGCAAAUGCAGAAGGGUGCUUGACUGCAAGACAGACAAGUCGAGCAGGGACGAAAGUCGGGAUUAGUGAUCCGGCGGUGCAGAAUGGAAUGGCCGUCGCUUAACGGAUAAAAGCUACCCUGGGGAUAACAGGCUGAUCUCGCCCAAGAGUUCACAUCGACGGCGAGGUUUGGCACCUCGAUGUCGGCUCAUCGCAUCCUGGAGCUGAAUUCGGUUCCAAGGGUUGGGCUGUCCGCCCAUUAAAGCGGUACGCGAGCUGGGUUCAGAACGUCGUGAGACAGUUCGGUC